rnacentral:rRNA from 1 species
UACGGAGGGUGCGAGCGUUGUCCGGAAUCACUGGGCGUAAAGGGCGCGUAGGUGGCGCCGCAAGUCAACGGUGAAAGCUCGACGCUUAACGUCGAGUCGGCCGUCGAGACUGCGGGGCUCGAGCACUGUAGAGGCUCAUGGAAUUCCGGGUGUAGCGGUGGAAUGCGUAGAGAUCCGGAAGAACACCGGUGGCGAAGGCGGUGAGCUGGGCAGUUGCUGACACUGAGGCGCGACAGCUAGGGGAGCAAACGGG